rnacentral:rRNA from 1 species
UAACGUAGCGAAAGUUACGCUAAUACCGCAUACGAUCUACGGAUGAAAGCGGGGGAUCGCAAGACCUCGCGCGAUUGGAGCGGCCGAUAUCAGAUUAGGUAGUUGGUGGGGUAAAGGCUCACCAAGCCAACGAUCUGUAGCUGGUCUGAGAGGACGACCAGCCACACUGGAACUGAGACACGGUCCAGACUCCUACGGGAGGCAGCAGUGGGGAAUUUUGGACAAUGGACGCAAGUCUGAUCCAGCCAUUCCGCGUGCAGGAUGAAGGCCCUCGGGUUGUAAACUGCUUUUGUUACGGAACGAAAAGGUCUCUCUUAAUACGAGGGGCUCAUGACGGUACCGUAAGAAUAAGCACCGGCUAACUACGUG